GGAUCUUGAGCUGCCUCCUUAAAAUUGUUUGGUUCUUUCUGUUUUAUAAUGGCAGAAAUAAAAGAUGCAUGUGAAUGAUCAGAGAAAAUGCUAUUAUGGACAGAAAGUUGAUGUGAAGACUCAGUUGUAUUACAGACAUAAUCUGCCAGGUAACAGAUCAAAGAGUAAGCAUGAAGAUAAAGAAGAAGAAGAAGAAGAAGAGAUA